rnacentral:lncRNA from 1 species
GUAUGGGUCCUUAAGAAUCCUACCACUUUUAAGCUCAAAAAUUACUUUGUUAUUUUUAAAUUGAGGAUUCUUAGAUAUGACAUUAGAUUGAUGACUAGGUCCAGGUAGUUGGUGGAUGGAUGGGUCAUUUUUAAAAUUUGAUAUUGGUUCGUUUGGCAAUUGACCUAGUUCUCUCCUCAUAGUAGACUUAGUUAAUUGAUCUAUUUAUGCUUCU